rnacentral:rRNA from 1 species
UACGUAGGGUGCAAGCGUUGUCCGGAAUUAUUGGGCGUAAAGAGCUCGUAGGCGGUCUGUCGCGUCGGAUGUGAAAACCCAGGGCUCAACCCUGGGCCUGCAUUCGAUACGGGCAGACUAGAGUUCGGUAGGGGAGACUGGAAUUCCUGGUGUAGCGGUGAAAUGCGCAGAUAUCAGGAGGAACACCGGUGGCGAAGGCGGGUCUCUGGGCCGAAACUGACGCUGUAGAGCGAAAGCGUGGGGAGCGAACAGG